CUACGGGACGCUGCAGGCGAGAAAACUUUGCAAUGUGCGAAAGCACGACAAGGUUAAUCCGAGUGGUUUCUGCUAAAGGAACCUUUUGUCGGUCCUAGAAACACCGAUGAAUAAGGGGUGGGCAAGUUCUGGUGUCAGCCGCCGCGGUAAAACCAGCACCUCAAGUGGUCAGGAUGAUUAUUGGGCCUAAAGCAUCCGUAGCCGGCUCUGUAAGUUUUCGGUUAAAUCUGUAUGCUCAACAUACAGGCUGCCGGGAAUACUGCAUAGCUAGGGAGUGGGAGAGGUAGACGGUACUCGGUAGGAAGGGGUAAAAUCCUUUGAUCUAUUGAUGACCACCUGUGGCGAAGGCGGUCUACCAGAACACGUCCGACGGUGAGGGAUGAAAGCUGGGGGAGCAAACCGGAUUAGAUACCCCGGUAGUC
rnacentral:rRNA from 1 species